UACCAACAGCAAACCUGUCUACUUGGGUA
rnacentral:piRNA from 1 species